GGGAGUGUAUGUAGUCCGGUGGCUGCCACAGUCUUCAAAACUGUUGUAUACCGUUAGGAACGGUGUAGGUGGGUUCGACUCCCAUCCGCUCUC
rnacentral:tRNA from 1 species